GAUGAACGCUGGCGGCGUGCCUAAUACAUGCAAGUCGAGCGAACAGACGAGGAGCUUGCUCCUCUGACGUUAGCGGCGGACGGGUGAGUAACACGUGGAUAACCUACCUAUAAGACUGGGAUAACUUCGGGAAACCGGAGCUAAUACCGGAUAAUAUAUUGAACCGCAUGGUUCAAUAGUGAAAGACGGUUUUGCUGUCACUUAUAGAUGGAUCCGCGCCGCAUUAGCUAGUUGGUAAGGUAACGGCUUACCAAGGCAACGAUGCGUAGCCGACCUGAGAGGGUGAUCGGCCACACUGGAACUGAGAAACGGUCCAGACUCCUACGGGAGGCAGCAGUAGGGAAUCUUCCGCAAUGGGCGAAAGCCUGACGGAGCAAUGCCGCGUGAGUGAUGAAGGUCUUCGGAUCGUAAAACUCUGUUAUUAGGGAAGAACAAAUGUGUAAGUAACUAUGCACGUCUUGACGGUACCUAAUCAGAAAGCCACGGCUAACUACGUG
rnacentral:rRNA from 1 species